CACGUAAGGGGCGAGCGUUGUUCGGAAUCAUUGGGCGUAAAGGGCGCGUAGGCGGUCAUGCAAGUCUGGCGUGAAAGGCAAGGGCUCAACCCUUGGACUGCGUUAGAAACUGUGAGACUAGAGUCAUGGAGGGGGAGCUGGAAUUCCUGGUGUAGGGGUGAAAUCUGUAGAUAUCAGGAAGAACACUGGUGGCGAAGGCGAGCUUCUAGCCAAUGACUGACGCUGAGGCGCGAAAGUGCGGGGAG
rnacentral:rRNA from 1 species